GACAGAGGGGGCAAGCGUUGCUCGGAAUUACUGGGCGUAAAGGGCGCGUAGGCGGGCUGGCAAGUCGGUCGUGAAAUCCUUCGGCUCAACCGAAGAACGUCGAUCGAUACUGCUGUUCUUGAGGGUUGCAGAGGAGACUGGAAUUCCCGGUGUAGCGGUGAAAUGUGUAGAGAUCGGGAGGAACACCGGUGGCGAAGGCGGGUCUCUGGGCAAUUCCUGACGCUGAGGCGCGAAAGCUGGGGGAGCAAACGGG
rnacentral:rRNA from 1 species